AGUGAGCAAUUAGCAUAUGAAUUUUCAUAUAUAUUUACAAAAUUAAAUAAAAAACCCACUAGUUUAUUUUACUUAACAACUAGAGACCAUGAAUAUGGUCAGUCGCAGGUGUUAGGCUAUUGAAAAUAAACUGAGUGUUCAUUAUCACAGGUUUUUUUUUUAAAGAGCAUGUAGAAUUGAAAGCAUUAUAUUGCAGCUUGAAAACAACUUCCUGAUGAUAUUGAUUAUUAUUUUAACGUGAUAAAUCCUAUUUUACAUGUGGCUUCCAAAAGUUCUUUCCUCUUAGACCUGCCAGCCAUGGGAAACCCCAAUUAUCUGCUAAAUAGGGGUAAAUAGGGGUAAAUUCCAACAAAAUUCAUCUUUCUCCUUGGUAGGACUUUGGCAAGCAUUAGUUCCAUCAACUGUUUAGGUAGAUGUUUUCUUCUAAAAUAUACUAUAAUUUUGCUUUUAACUUUAGGACAAAGAAAAUAUAAUGUGCUUUUGAGAAAAAGAAAGCAGAAUGCUUUAGAAACUAUACAUCAAUUUUCAGUUCAGAAACUUUUCCAAAUGAAAAAAAGUAAACCUUUGAGAGUUUUUGAAAGGGGUAAGGCAAAGAUAAAAUUCUGAUACUCAGAAAAUCACUGGGAGGUAUAAGAUCUAUGGCUAUAUAUUGAAGAAACUAAAGUAAGAAUGAAUCGGGGGAGUUGGGAAAGAAAGAGAACAAAUUUUCAAGUAAAUUGAUCACAAAUUGUCAUUUGUCAAAAGAAAUGAAAGAUUCAAUAAACAAAGAUAAAAUAACACUUCAGGAUUAAAGCAUUUAAGAAUUUUUUUUUUUAGAAAUAUCUGAAAAAUAGGAAGGGAAAAUUGUAAGCUAGAAAAAAACUUCAGGGAUUUUAGUUUUUCAAUAGAUAUGAAUUUUAGGUAUUUUUAGAAGGACACUUGGUGAAUAUAACAAGGAAAUUUCUGGAACUACGAAGAUCCCAAAAGCCACAUUUAAGCAAGAUUGUGGGGAGGAAAGGAUAUCCUUUUCCUGAUAAGGACUGCUAUAUGGGUCAAAUGAGCUGAUAACAUGAAGAGCAGCAUAAAACUAAUUGGUUCAAGAAACCUAGUGUGCUUUUAUAAUCUAUACUGCAUUAAGUUAUGGGAAAAAGGAAAACAGACCCUAAGAUUCGUAUUUUAAAAUGUCUUUGAAAGAGAAUCCAUUGUGAGCUAUAUCUAUUUACAUAAGAUUUAAACAUGUGAAAAGGUAUGUAUGGAUUAGGUAAAAAUGAAGGCUAGUAACAGCAAGACAAUAACAAGCCAUUUAAACAUCACACUGGACUUGAAAAAGGUGAGGCUGGCCCAGUGCUGGCUGUGCCAGGGCUGUGCUGGGGCUGUGCCGGGGCUGCAGCGGCCCCAAAUUGAGUCUGUUUUGCCAGUGAUGGUAAUUUGUAAGUUUGUCUCAAGCCAUUUAUUUUUCAUCUUUUCUCCCCCUAUAUUAUUGAGCGGGAAGGAAGUGGCUUGUUGGGUGCUUGGCUGCUGACCAAGGUCAACUUCUGCCAUUUUUUUUGGCAGAUCAUUUACACAUAAAGAAGAAGGGCCUCUCUUAUGACAUCUACUAUAGGGAAAAUGAAUAUUUGGAAAAGUUUUACUUAGCUUCCAUGCAAGAUCUCUCUAAAGCAGGACUGACUUCUGCUUUCUAAACUGAUUCUUUUACAUUAGAGGGUCUUUGGAGGCUGGCAGCUGAGCUGCCAGACAUGUGACAGCUGGGAGCUGACAAAACCAGUGGGAUUCCAUCUGUCCAGAUGCCCAGCUCGUGGCUCUUCUCACCUGGGGGCAGAGGACAGCUGAACUUCUUUGGUUGCAGGGCUGCAGCAGUCUGAGCAUUUUGCUGCUUUAUUUCCCUGAACUCCUUUUGAGUCAGCCUUGUGUAGGUCACAUGAAUGCCUGUGUCCUCUUUAUGCCAUUACACCAAGACUGUCCUCAUUUUUGUGGGGGGGUCAAAAGAACAGCAACCACCGAAAUAGCAUUCUGCCAGAGGUGCUGCUUGUGUAUAGCUUGAGCUUUUUGAGAUAGGAUAUUUGCAUCGUUUGUAAGUUCAUGGUAGGAUCUGACAUCAGCAGUAAUA